AGGAGAGAAAAGAGGGUGGGGAGGGGAAGGCGGGCGGCGGGGGGAGGGGAGCGCGCUGCUAGGGCAGACAAUGAGUCCCGCGCAGCCUGCGGGUGUGGGCUGAGCUGCGAGCGCGGUCCUAGGACUAAGAGCAAGUCCACCCAGGGGGCGCCGAUCCCGGGGACGCCGGGGGAGGGGCAGAGGUGGCAGAACGCCUGACCUGGCUGGCGACCCACACCCAUUCCUCCUCCCCCAGUUACACACAUACUCAAGGGGGGGAGGCGCUGGCAGGGUUGACUAUGCAUAGUCCAACGCUGUCUCCGCAGCGGGAGAGACGCGCCAUCUCGGGGGUCAGCGAGCCCUCAGAAAGUGAGGGGAAAGUGCCUUCCUCCGCUGGUCUCCCCCACUGCUGCCUCCACAUUAAAUGAACUUUUUGCCCCGUAGUUGUGUAUGUUUCCCGACCUCUUCUCGAGACCUUGGGGCUCAGGUCCUGGUGGCCGUCGGGGGUCUAGUCUCCUGUGAUGUAGGAAAGAAGGAACUAGAGCGCCUAGCUCCCUAUCUCUGCUCCGCUUUUUACAAACGGUACUAAAUUCCUGGGAAGUUUCGGGAGGUACACGUCGGCACUCCCCAGCUAAUCUCUGAGAACUUUUAAUUCGGGGUUCUGGUGUACGUAAAGGUUAGUCCACGAGGUGCGCAGAAGGGACAAGGGCUACUAGGCCAGUCGCGCUCUCCGAGUUCUGGUGUCCUGUUUGCUCUGAGCUUUCCCUGGAGAACUUCAGGUAAGUCACAUAUAAGUCGUUGGAAAGAGGAGGGGGGUCACCUUCCCUGGUUCCAGGGCUAAAUACCACUUCCCCACCCCCACCCUCACAUACACACCCCUUCUUCGCUCCCUCCAAAUGGUUAUCACAACUGUGUACAAACUGAUACGGUCCUUCGCCGGCAAAGGGACUGGAAAUGAACGUCGCGGGGUUAUCAGCGCCGAUCUGUCAGCAGGGAGUCGCGCGGCCCGCAGGUUCGUCCUCGGCAGGAGCCGUGAUGUAUGUCUCGCUCCCUUACGCUCACAAAAAGGAUUUCUUCCGACAGCUGUGACCCCAGAAGGCUGUCGAAAAUUUUAACUAGGGCAGGAGGAGUUGUUUUGUAGGAAUGGAUUUUUACACUUUUUUUCCAGGUAAAUCGAAGUAAAUGAUUUUCUAAAGGUCAGUCUCCCUGAAAGCCUUUGGGCUGUGUGUGUGUGUGUGUGUGUGUGUGUGUGUGCGUGCGCGCGCGCGCGUGCGCGAGCAUGUGUGUCUGUGUGUGUGUGUGUGUGUGUGUGUGUGUGUGUGUGUGUGUGUGUUUCCAGUUGGGGAAGGGAGAGUUGCAUAGAGUUGAACCCGGGUAGGUAGGGACAUAAUAAAAUUUAAGAGUUUGGAGAGAUUGUGAGAAGUCAUGGCUAAAUGUUUCCUUUCUAUGUAACUGUGACUUGUGAGCCUGUGUAUCCUGGGGGACAAGGGGACAGGGCCAGGCAGCGCGGGGGAGGAAGGUGCAGAAUCGAGGAAGUCCACGAUUCUCCUUUUCUUUUUCUCAUUCUUCGUUGUAAAUAGCUGUUAAACACUUCUGAAUUUUAAAUUGCUACCGAGAAGGUCCAUAAACCGUUCUCAUCCAAUUUAGUCACUUUUAUUACAUUCCUCUUCGCCUCCCCCAAUCACUGCGGCGGCUCCCAGUUUCAGCGUGGCCGCAAUUCGGAAAGACUGAAGGUAGAAAACUCUGGAACGGAGAUUGGCGACUGGAGCAGGAUCCAGGGACUUUAAAUUUUAACCUGAAUUCGAUUGAAUGCAUCUACCAGAAGAGAUAGUCCGGCGUCCGCCGUCCACUCAACUCCGACCAGGGCUUCCAAUGCCUUUCUUUUGGUUUCUACCGAGAUGCUGUCUAAGGAAGACAAGUUAGCAAAUAAAUUGGCUAAGUAAGAGUCCAGCCUGUGAACGGCCUCCAAGCCUGAGCCCAGAGAAGACCGAGCCCCGGCACGAACCUGAUUCCUGCUGCGUGUGUGUUUUUUUAUAUUUGCCAAACACGAGGUUGUCCUUGUGAAUUUCCCUGCACAAUAGCUGACACCCGGGAGAGGGUGCGCGGGCCCCGGCGCCGCUGGGACAGAGACUGGCUUUCCAACCAGAGGAGAGAAUGGAUAGUGAAAUUUUUUUCUUGUCAGUUAACUUCAAAAUAAAACAAAACUGUUUGACCCGUGGAGUUUAUUCAGACGGAAAGCCAGGUUGCCUGACUCGUCCAGUUUGCAAUUUUCCCAGCGCAUCGGCUUUGGCCCCGGAGACAACACCCCCAGGGAGAGGCACAUUUUCAAAGCCACCCUUCACCGGCCCCAGGCCCGGGGCUCUGAUCUCCCUGAGCGCCUCAGUUGGUCCCGGAAAGCGAGGAGAAGAGGGGGUGCAGAGGAAGAAGUGCACCCAAAGAGCUGGCGAAGGCCCCCAUAGUGUUCCAGGUGGAAAGCUUAGAAGUUUUCUUCGUGUUUCCUCCCGUUUCUUUUCUUCCUCCUCUUUUCCUUCCGCCCCUCUCUUCUUCGGUGAUUUGCUAAUAUGGAACGAAAUCGUUUGUCUCGGGACUAUUUAGACCCAAGAAGUGGCCCCUCCGGAGCGAGCCUGCCUCCCCAAGCGGCCCUUCUCACCUUCCGAAGGGGGCUGGCUCCCGGGCGCGGCCUGUCUCCAGGCUGAUUUAUUUGGGCCGCGCGCGCCACACCGCGCUUCGCGAUUCGAAUCCAGCCCGAACCCAGCCGCCAAUAGGGCAGGAGGCGGGGGCUUGGCGGCCAAACGGGGACGGGUGUUUGGGGACCAAGUUGUACGCCGCUUCCGGCGGAGCAGCGAGACUCGGGCGAAGACCCGUGUCAUGAUCCGCCUUUCUUCCCCAAACCUAAUCUCAUCCUGUUGUCCUUUCACCAAGCUCCUGGGUGCUCCAGCGACGUUGCAGGAGGAAAAAGAAUACAAUUACAUACCGUUUCUGACUUAAAAUAUAGUUUUAACUU
rnacentral:lncRNA from 1 species